CCGGGGGCUUACGCCCCCGGCUAACCAGUGUCGCCCCUUCGGGGCU
rnacentral:sRNA from 1 species